ACUGAAGCUAGAGUCAUACUUUGGUAAAAAGCUGUUGUCUUAGUAAGUCAGAGUCCUCCGAGAGAACUGCUGGCUUUGUUGACUGAUUGGACCUCCUGGCACAGUUGGUAACCACGGUAGUGACUUGC
ensembl:snoRNA